rnacentral:lncRNA from 1 species
ACUGGUAUCUCAUUGUCUGCACUGAGUCACCAGAGUUUCUGCAACUUAGGGCCCUUAAAUGCACGGAUGGUGAGCCAAUCAAAAGACAAGUGGGCCUUUUGCCCCACACUGUGAAAUUGAAACAAAAACACCUGCAAUUAUACACAAAAAAGAGUAGUCUUGACUCAAGAGGUGACACAGAAAGAAGUAGGGACAAGAAAUGGUCUUCCAGCAGAAGGACCCUUGAAGGGUUUUCUGAACGAAAGGAUGAGUCUAUCACAAGAAAUACCACUGAAUACUUUUAAGAGUAAAUUUACUACAUGAAAAAUUGAGCUAACAAAUCAAGCAUUCAUAUUACAAAAGAAUUCAUUUUCUGCUUCUUUUAAGGUCCGCAUCCCCCUAGGACAUUUAAAAUGCAGCUGAUUAAGUAUUGAAGGCUAUAACUAAAGCAGUGCAGGAAAUUUACUUCGUUCGCUUCUCUCUCUCUGUCUCUUUUUCUCUUCUGAAACAAAUACAUGUGACUUUUUAAAAAAGAAAAAGUAAUGGAAGAUAUUCUUUUUAAUGCAGUUUAAUUUACAAAAGCGGUAUUUCCGUAAAUAUUUUCUGAAUUAAAUCUUAUUCACAGAGUCUUAAAGCUGAUGCCAACUCUACUACAGCUGCAGGCUGUGCAUUUGCCAAGCCUGACUCUGAACCCUUCUGUAGGAUGAGCAAGACGAGGUUCAAGGAAGGUGAGUGAUGGACUCACAGGCACAUCCGUGACUGGCACAGGUGGACUUGGAUCCCAGGACCCCAUUACACAGAGGGAUGCACUGAAAUGAAAGUGAUGAGGAGGCUGAAUACAAAGGGAAUUAGGGCAGGGUCUUCAUCAGAUUGGAUGGCUAUAAUAGAGUACCAUAGACUAGGUAGCUUAUACACAAUACACAACAGAAAUUUUCUUUUUUUUUUUCUUUUUUUCUUUCUUUUUCUUUUUUUUUUUUUUAGACAGAGUCUCACUCUGUCACCCAGGCUGGAGGGCAACUACAUGAUCUUGGCUCAUUGCAACCUCCACCUUCCAGGCUCAAGCAAUUCUCCCAUCUCAGCCUCCUAAGUAGUGAGACUACAGGUGUGCAACACCACACCUGGAUAAUUUUUGUAUUUUUUUGUAGACAUGGGGUUUCACCAUAUUGCCCAGGCUGGUCUUGAACUCUUGGCCUCAAGCAAUCCUCCCAGUUCAGCCUCGCAAAAUGCAGGGAUUACAGGUAUGAGCCACUGUGCCCAGCCGAAACUGAUUUCUUACAGUUCUGGAGGCUGGAAGUCCACGACCAGGGUGCCAGCAAGGUCAGGUUCUGGUGAGAGCUCUCUUCUGGGUUACAGAUCACCCACUUCUCCUCGAACCCUCAUAAGGUAUAACAGAGUGUGAGAGAGCUCUCUGUGGUCCCUUACACCAGGUCAUUAUAAGGUAAUGACCUAAUUACCUCCCAAAGGCCCCAAGUUCCAAUGCCAUCACAUUGAGGUUUAGGAUUCCAACAUAUAAAUUUGGGAGAGACACAAACAUUCAAUCUAUUGCAGACAGUUUAUGCUAAACAAAGUUACUGAAUUCUAGAACGUUUCUAUUGUUAUCAGAUAAAUUAUAACACUUUCUGGAUCUCUUCAGAUGUCUGAACAUAGACCUCACCCCCUGAGUCAUGGGUGACCCAAAAUGGUAAUAAUGGUACUGUUGCCAUCACAGCCAUUCGCAGGUACUUGACUUGAAUAUCUGAAACAAAUAUAAUUAAUUUUUUCCUUGGGAAAAAUUUCAAUACUGGGUUCAGUUUUCUAAACUGCGUAUGCCAAAGCCGAGAUUGCAGCCAUUCUUAUGUAGCACAAAUCAAUUCACCAACACUUGCAGAAUCAGUUUUCGUGGGGAAGAAAGCAAUUAAGAUUUAGAGCAGGUGCUGCUUUGACUAUUA